UACGAAGGGUGCAAGCGUUACUCGGAAUUACUGGGCGUAAAGCGUGCGUAGGUGGUGAGUUAAGUCUGUCGUGAAAGCCCCGGGCUCAACCUGGGAAUGGCGAUGGAUACUGGCUCGCUAGAGUGCGGUAGAGGAGAGUGGAAUUCCCGGUGUAGCAGUGAAAUGCGUAGAGAUCGGGAGGAACACCAACGGCGAAAGCACUCUGCUGGGCCGACACUGACACUGAGAGACGAAAGCUAGGGGAGCGAAUGGG
rnacentral:rRNA from 1 species